UCUAAAUUUGCAAAUUGAUGCCGCAGGGUCACACAGUUUUGCUGUAGUUUUGGGUUCAAAAUGGUUUGCAGAUAGAUGGCCUGAUGCCCUUAUAUAAUGUCAAAUAUGCAUCAAAAAACUUUUUCCAAUUGCUAUAACAUUUAGAAUUAUGUGGGCACAAGCUUCAAAAAAAAAAAACAAACAAACAAAACCAAAAAAAAAAAGACUUUUCUUAUUUGACAAUAAGGCAGUAGUAGAUGGCAUAAAUAAACAGUCAUCUGGUGAACAUAACCUUAUGAAAUUAUUUUGUCGGCUUGUACUAGUGGCAAUACAGUGCAAAAUUCACUUUAGAGCUAACCAUGCUUCAAUAAAAUCUAAUGUACGUGCUGACAGACUCGAGCAUUAUUCACCAAGCACAUUGGCAUCACAUGUUUCGGCCAUUUAAUUUUUCAAAAAAUUCUGAAUUUGCCAGACUCAUCUAAGAAUUUUGUUUUUGGUUCAGAAAUUGUUAAAAAGGGUGUCAAAAAUCAUGCCAAAGAACAGCCUCAAGACUCCAAUAACAAGGGAAAUUCGGAGGGAUAUUCCUACAAAAAUUUAAAAGCUAUACGUCUUACAAGGCCUACUUGGAAUAACCGAAUUCUUUUAAGAGCAUUAGAUUGGGAGAAUUAUUUGUCAGGACACUGCAAUCUAUGAAUCAAGUGUUUUUAAGGUCAAACAUACUUUUUAAAACUGGGCAAGGAUAUUGAAAAUUGUAAGUUUAAUUUUAUGUCACACACAAAAACUAGCAAUCUGGUCAGUCAGUUACCAUCUACCUAGAGGCCCAGUCUAAAAAAGAUCUCUGUCCUGUGUUUCCCCUUUUUGAGUAUAUGUGCCAAUUUAAACAUUCAAAGGGGACCCCUUUUUCAAUUAAUUGAUGGAACUCCAGUUUCACAGUCAUUGGUUUCAAAACAUUUAGGUGCAAGUUUUACAUUCAUGGGUUUGAAUAAAAAAAAAUUACAAAGGUUAUGCUUUUUGUAUUGGGGCAACUACUCAUGCAGCUAGGUUGGGUUCUUCAAAAAAUGCAAUUCAACGUAUGGGUAGACGGAAAUUUGAUGCAGUCAAGAGAUAUAUAAAUACAGGAUCCUUUACUCUUUCUCUCCAGUAGUUUGGUUUUUAUUUUUGUGUGUUUUUUCUCCUCAAUUCAUUAAAUUGAUAAGGUAUAGUCUACUACCCUCUCCUAAUGAUAACAGUACAGCACAAAACAUCUGCUUAUAAAGGUCGUCCUGCAAUCAAUUUUGUAUUGGUCAAAUUAAUCUUGUCAUCUUCAUGUAGCCUGUCCCUUAAUUAACUAUAAAUGGGUCAGAUUAUGCCUGUCAGGUUCAUGUAGGUAUACCCGUUGUCCUAAGAUAAGCUGUAAAUGGGUCAGAUUAUGUUGGUUGGUUCAUGUAGGUUGUCCCCAGUUAAGCCUUCAAUGGGUCAGAUUAUGUUGGUUGUGGUCUUGUAGGUUUCCCCAGAUAAGUUGUAAAUGGGUCAGAUUAUGUCUGACAUGUUCAUGUAGGUUGCCCCCAGAUAAGCUGUAAAUGGGUCAGAUUAUGUCUGACAUGUUCGUGUAGGUUGUCCCUAGCUAAGCUGUAAAUGGGUCAGAUUAUGUCUGAUAUGUUCAUGUAAGUUGUCCCUAGAUAAGCUGUAAAUUGGUCAGAUUAUGUCUGACAUGUUCAUGAAGGUUGUCCUUAGGUCAGAUUAAGAUGGUUCAGAUGAGGUCUGUCAUCCCCUUCCCCCUACAAUUUAUUACCAUUGAGUUACCUUCAGUCAUCUGCAAUGGAUGAUUAGAGAGUAAAUAACAAAUUGGAGCAUGAAAUAAAGGACUCAGCAUUUGUAAUGUUUACUGCAAAUCAUUUGUAUAGACUAAUUUACUGUUUGCAAUGUAAUUAAUUAAUUGUAAUUAACCAUUUCCAAUAUGUUAUUUUAUUACAUCAAUACAAAUAUUUUAAACCUUUGUACUAGAAAUAUUGUUUAUCAUGAUUUAUAUAAAUGCAAUUAAAAUGUGGUAAGUUACAGGGGUUUGCUGACCAGAAUCUUUUCUUAAACAUGUAUAUUAAGAUUAUUAUGUUUUUUCUCCUAUGUUGUCCAUGUACGUGGGUUGUUUCCCUUGGGUGGCGGAAAAUCCAAUGUAGUUGGAUUUUUGGUGGCCUAUUGUUUGUUGCCACCUUAUUUUUCAGCUUAAAUGUUUGAUAUAUUUGUGUUUUUUGAGUAUUGUCAUGAUGUUAUUUUAAAGUUUUGGGAGAUCCAUAACAAGGUGUAGAUACAAAUUGUAGAAAGUCAUAGGAUCUCCCAAAUUUCAUGUGUUUCAUUUGUGUCAUUAAUAAAUGACAUAUUUACAACAAUACUCAUUUUUGGUUUUCAUUCAAUCUGAAAAAUAACAGAGCUGCGGGAAACUUGGUUUUAAAUUUGCAUUAUUAUCAUAUAGAAGGCAUAAUGUAAUAUUUUUGACAAUAAUAUGUUUUAUGCAUACAUAUGUAAUUUACCAUUUUCUGUGGUUAGAAUGUAGUGAUUGUAGUAUAUUUCAUGUAUAUAUCAGGUUUCAGAGAUAGGAUGUUAUGUAAUGCAUAGUCUCAGGUUUACGGGCUUUGCGUUGAUUAGUCGUGAGCUAACGUCGGAUAUAUCACGUGAUUAUUAUUGCUGGUUUAUGCUGCAGGUGUUUGUACACACCAAUUUUUGUAGAAAAACAUACCCUCCACCUCCCCGUACAACCGUCCCUAAGGUUAAACUUUACUUUGGGAUGUAUUUUGAUAAUUUCUUCUGUCUCGUGGCCUAUUGUUUGUUGCCACCUUAUUUUUCAGCUUAAAUGUUUGAUAUAUUUGUGUUUUUUGAGUAUUGUCAUGAUGUUAUUUUAAAGUUUUGGGAGAUCCAUAACAAGGUGUAGAUACAAAUUGUAGAAAGUCAUAGGAUCUCCCAAAUUUCAUGUGUUUCAUUUGUGUCAUUAAUAAAUGACAUAUUUACAACAA